AGCAGAGAACCAAAACGUGCAUCACUUUACAAUAGAAAUAAGCCUGAAACUCAACACUAGAAAAGACACAAAUCUAGAAAUCAAUUGAUUCCCCAGGAAACGAAGCUAUCAUCUUUAAGACAGAUACACUCAAGGACAGGAAUCAACUGAGAUUUCAACAGAUACACAGAAGGGUACACAGAGGAGAUACUGAUUUAUGAAUAGUGUCAUGGCUCCACUUUACAAUGUUUUAGUAAAGCAGAGAAGCAAAAUUCGCAUUACUUUAUAACCGUCUGCCCAACCUAGCAAAAGCAAAGAUCCAAAACGGGGCAUCUCUAUACAAUGGGUAAUAAGCCUGAUACUCGACACUAGAUAGGAUACAAAUAAAAAGAUCAUAAAACAAAAGUAGAUAGCUAUGAUCUUCCUACUUGUAUUCGAACUUCAGCUUUUGAAUAACAAUGUGAAAUCUUACAAGCAAUUAGAAAACUCCAAGAAGAGGAAUCAACUGAGAUUUCAAACAGAUACACGGAAGGGCCACAAAGGGGAAGAGACUGAUUCGUCAAUAGUGACACACAACCACAUAGUAUUAACGAGAGUCAAAAGGGGAUAAAAAAAACUUCUACAAGCUAUGAACAUGAAUCAUGGAAACGAUGAAACCUUUACGAAUUGCAAAUCAUGCAAUCGAACUUAUCGGGACAACUUGAUUAGGCAAAAAUAUCAUUGACCAUCAGAUACAUUCGAUCAAAAAUCCCAAAUUUUGCUCAAAACACGAAACGAGACCUAGAAAAUUAGUAAUUGGGACCGGAAAAAACAGAUCCAAAGGGUUUGUAGAGGAAUUAACCGAAAGGUUGGAAAUUUCGUUGAGAAAUUUAAUUGACAGCGGAGAAGAAGAAAACAAAAACAAAAACAAAAAUCGAGAAAA